GAAAUGCGAUAAGUAAUGUGAAUUGCAGAAUUCAGUGAAUCAUCGAAUCUUUGAACGCACCUUGCGCUCCUUGGUAUUCCUUGGAGCAAGCCUGUUUGAGUAUCAUGAAAUCUUCAAAGUAAAUCUUUUGUUAACUCAAUUGGUUUCUACUUUGGUAUUGGAGGUCUUUGCAGCUUCACACCUGCUCCUCUUUGUUCAUUAGCUGGAUCUCAGUGUUAUGCUUGGUUCCACUCGGCGUGAUAAGUUAUCUAUCGCUGAGGACACUGUAAAAGGUGGCCAAGGUAAAUGCAGAUGAACCGCUUCUAAUAGUCCAUUGACUUGGACAAUACUUUUAUGAUCUGAUCUCAAAUCAGGUAGGACUACCCGCUGAACUUAAGC
rnacentral:misc_RNA from 1 species